CAUAACAUCAGACUUUCUCUCUCUUUCUCUAGAUCUAGAUCUGGAGCAAACAUCAAUGAAAUUGAAAAUACGCAGUGAUGAACACCGAUUUGAAGAAACCCUAACUGAAGAUAACCAGCCGGAGCCGAUUUUGAUGUUUAUAACUGGCCUUAUAGGAUGUUCUUGGCUUUUAAAAUCGAUAAACAAAUCAAAGCUAUUAGGAUGUUCUGUUUGAUUCUGUCCAAGCUGUUGUUUUCAAAACAUAAUGUGGGUGGAUCUCCUGUAUCAAUAUUUUCACUCAUGGGAAGUAAUGCUGGUGAUGGACGUUUAGCUGCUGGUCUCAAACGGCUUACAACAGUGAGUUACUCAUAACUCAUCUUGAGCUAAAUGAAUGGGAUUAUUCAUCCGAACAUGAAAUAUAUUGAUUGAUAUGUGAUCCUUUUCAUUUGAA